rnacentral:rRNA from 1 species
CAUGCAAGUCGAGCGGUAAGGCCCUUCGGGGUACACGAGCGGCGAACGGGUGAGUAACACGUGGGUGAUCUGCCUCGCACUCUGGGAUAAGCCUGGGAAACUGGGUCUAAUACCGGAUAUGACCUUACAUCGCAUGGUGUUUGGUGGAAAGAUUUAUCGGUGCGAGAUGGGCCCGCGGCCUAUCAGCUUGUUGGUGGGGUAAUGGCCUACCAAGGCGACGACGGGUAGCCGGCCUGAGAGGGCGACCGGCCACACUGGGACUGAGACACGGCCCAGACUCCUACGGGAGGCAGCAGUGGGGAAUAUUGCACAAUGGGCGAAAGCCUGAUGCAGCGACGCCGCGUGAGGGAUGACGGCCUUCGGGUUGUAAACCUCUUUCGACAGGGACGAAGCGCAAGUGACGGUACCUGUAGAAGAAGCACCGGCCAACUACGUGCCAGCAGCCGCGGUAAUACGUAGGGUGCGAGCGUUGUCCGGAAUUACUGGGCGUAAAGAGCUUGUAGGCGGCUUGUCGCGUCGAUCGUGAAAACUUGGGGCUCAACCCCAAGCUUGCGGUCGAUACGGGCAGGCUUGAGUACUUCAGGGGAGACUGGAAUUCCUGGUGUAGCGGUGAAAUGCGCAGAUAUCAGGAGGAACACCGGUGGCGAAGGCGGGUCUCUGGGAAGUAACUGACGCUGAGAAGCGAAAGCGUGGGUAGCGAACAGGAUUAGAUACCCUGGUAGUCCACGCCGUAAACGGUGGGUACUAGGUGUGGGUUUCCUUCCACGGGAUCCGUGCCGUAGCUAACGCAUUAAGUACCCCGCCU